ACACAUGCAAGUCGAACGAUUGAAGCUGGAGCUUGCUCCGGCCGAUUUAGUGGCGGACGGGUGAGUAACGCGUGGGUAACCUGCCUCAUACAGGGGGAUAGCAGUUGGAAACGACUGGUAAAACCGCAUAAGCGCACGGUGUCGCAUGACACAGUGUGAAAACACUCCGGUGGUAUGAGAUGGACCCGCGUCUGAUUAGCUAGUUGGUGAGGUAACGGCCCACCAAGGCGACGAUCAGUAGCCGGCCUGAGAGGGUGAACGGCCACAUUGGGACUGAGACACGGCCCAAACUCCUACGGGAGGCAGCAGUGGGGAAUAUUGCACAAUGGGGGAAACCCUGAUGCAGCGACGCCGCGUGAGUGAUGAAGUAUUUCGGUAUGUAAAGCUCUAUCAGCAGGGAAGAUAAUGACGGUACCUGACUAAGAAGCACCGGCUAAAUACGCGCCAGCAGCCGCGGUAAUACGUAUGGUGCAAGCGUUAUCCGGAUUUACUGGGUGUAAAGGGUGCGUAGGUGGCAAGGCAAGUCUGAAGUGAAAAUCCGGGGCUCAACCCCGGAGCUGCUUUGGAAACUGUUUAGCUGGAGUACAGGAGAGGUAAGUGGAAUUCCUAGUGUAGCGGUGAAAUGCGUAGAUAUUAGGAGGAACACCAGUGGCGAAGGCGACUUACUGGACUGCUACUGACACUGAGGCACGAAAGCGUGGGG
rnacentral:rRNA from 1 species